AGCUCCAAUAGCGUAUGUUAAUGUUGUUGCGGUUAAAAAGCUCGUAGUUGGAUCUCGGCGCCCCUCUGCCGGUGGCCUGUUUGGGCCGACUGGCACGAUUCGGGGCGUGAAUGUUUUGCCGGAAGGGUUUCGGGUGCUCUUGACCGAGUGCUCGGAGUCGCCGGCAGGUUUACUUUGAAAAAAUUAGAGUGCUCAAGGCAGGCCUAUCACGCCUGAAUAUCCGUGCAUGGAAUAAUGGAAUAGGACGUCGUUUCUAUUUUGUUGGUGGGGUGUCAAAGCCCCCUUGUUUCGGAAAUCGACGUAAUGAUUAAUAGGGACAGUCGGGGGCAUUAGUAUUCAGGCGACAGAGGUGAAAUUCUUGGACCGCUUGAAGACUGCCUACUGCGAAAGCAUUUGCCAAGAAUGUUUUCA
rnacentral:rRNA from 1 species